rnacentral:lncRNA from 1 species
CUUGGCCUCCCAAAGUGCUGGGAUUACAGGCGUGAGCCACCACACCUGGCCUUGGGGUAUCAUUUCUUUUAAGCCUUCUCAACUGACAGAACAAAGAAAUAUAUCUGUAUAUACCAAUGUGUAUAUAUAUACACACAUAUCUAUAUUUCCAUUUGUAACCAUCUGUAUAUAUAUUAAGCUAAACAUGAGUUCCUGUUUAUAUUUACCACUUGAAUCCAGGGAUCAUUUGGCUUGCUUCCUGCUUGCUUAUCUCUAAAUUCCCACUCCAAUAACGGGAAACCUGGUUCCCAUCAUCCACAUCCACCAUCCAUUUACUUAAUUGUUCAAGUCCAGUAUACAUGUGUAGGAUUAUCAAAAUUGUUAACCCAUACCCCUGUGGGAAACUUUAUCAAGUAGAGUACAUUCUUCUGAACACUUUCUUUUGCCUUUAGUGUUCCAGCAGACUCCACUUGUUUCUUUUUUCUUUUUCUUUUUUUUUUUUUUUUGAGACAGAGCCUCACUCUGUUGCCCAGGUUGGAGUGCUGGAGUGCAGCGGGGCCAUCACAGCUCACAGCAGCCUUGACUUCCCAGUCUUAAGUGAUCCUCCUGCCUCAGCCUCCCAAGUAGCUGGGACUACAGGCAUGCGCCACUACACCCAUCUAAUUUUUUAAAAUUUUUGUAGAGAUGGGAUCUCACUAUGUUGCCUAGGCUUGUCUCCAACUCCUGGGCUCCAGUGAUCCUCCCGCCUCAGCCUCCCAAAGUCCUGGGAUUAAAGGCAUGAGCCACCACGCCUGGCCCACUCAUUUCUAAAGUUACUUAGGUCAGCACGUUUUCCUCUAUCCUCUUCAUGAGGUCAUUUCACACAUUUGUAAUACGGUGAAGAUGUUUGUCAUAUUCUGCAUGACAUUUUGGAAUUAUCUAAAUGUCCUAAGUGAUUUUUUUAACUUUGCAUGCAUUAAGGUUCACUUUUUGUGCUAUUAAGUUUAAUGGAUAUCAACCAAUGCACAGUCAUAUACCCACAUUUCUUCACCCUAAAAAACCCCCUGUGCUCACUUAUUGAACCCUCUCCCCGCCAAACACUGGCAACCACACAUCCGUUUACUGUAUCUAUGGUUUUGCCUUUUUGUGCCAUUAUUAAAAAAAAGAAAGACGCACAAUAUUUUUGUUGUUGCUCUUGUCACAGCUGCCACCCAUUGAAUCCUUACUAUGUCCCAGGUCCAGAAUUACACUGUCCCAUUUUGAAGAUGAGGAAACAGAUGCAAAUGAGUUGAAGUACUCCCUAGAGACUCAUAACAAUAAGCAAAGUUUGACUUCUAUGAUUAACUUCUGAGUCACCUCUGGGAAUAUUUGUAAUAUGUCUAAUAGCCACACUUCUUUUGUUUGUUUUGAUACAGGGGUCUUGCUGUUGCCUAGGCUGGAGUACAGUGGCUACUCACAGGUGCAAUCAUAGGGCACUACAGCCUUGAACUCCUGGGCUCAAGCAAUCCUCCUGCCUCAACCUCAAAAGUGGCUGGGACUACAAUGUGUGCCACUGUGCCCAGCUAUAUUAGCCACAUUUCAAGUACUCAAUAGCCGCUGUGCAGUUUAUACUAUUAUAUUGGUUUCUGAGUUUUGUUUUUGAGACUGCGUCUUGCUCUGUCACCAGGCUGGAGUGCAAUGGCACAAUCUCGGCUCACUGCAACCUCCACCACCUGGGUUCAAGCGAUUCUCCUGCCUCAGCCUCCCAAAUAGCUGAGACUACAGGUACGUAUCACCAAGACCAGCUAACUUUUGUAUUUUUAGUAGAGACAUGGUUUCACCAUGUUGGCCAGGAUGGUCUCGAUCUCUUGACCUCGUGAUCUGCCCGCCUCGGCCUCCCAAAGUGUUGGGAUUACAGGUGUGAGCCACGACACCCAGCCUUAGAUGUCUCUUAAGAGCAUAUCUAGCCUGGCAUUCUAGGAGUCUAUGAAAAGGAGGGAGAAAGGUGUCUGUAGCCAAACCUGCCUGUCUGGCUUCUUCUAGGUUGCCUAGCAAUGGAUGCCAACCCUCUCCCCCAUCCUUGGGGGUUUCUUAGCAACCCAGUUUCUCACCCUCUGCUGUUUUCAGGGUUUCCUUUUAACUAAAUGUCAAGUUUUGCUCUUUCUCCUCCAGAAAACCUGAGGCCAAGGGUCUCUGUGUAGAGCUGGAUACAACCCAGAAUACACAGAGACCUGGGUUUGAGGUCAGUGGAGGAUUUGCUGUGUGACUUGGAGGUCUUUGACCUCUCUGGCUUUCAUUUCAGACUGUGAUUCCCUGUCAUAUGCUCCUCAGAGUUCUUCUUCUUUUCUUCUUCUUCUUCUUUCCUCUUCUUCUUCUUCUUCUUCUUCUUCUUCUUCUUCUUCUUCUUCUUCUUCUUCUUCUUCUUCUUCUCUUCUUCUUUCUUCUUCUUCUUCUUUCUUUUCUUCUUCUUCCUCUUCCUCUUCUUCUUCUUCUUCUUCUCCUCCUCCUCCUCCUCCUCCUCCUCCUCCUUCUCCUUCCUUCUUUCUUCUUCUUCUUCUUCUUUUGUUUUUUGAGACCUAGUCUCACUCUGUCGCCCAGGCUGGAGUGCAGUGGGGCGAUCCCGGCUCACUGCAACCUCCGCCUCCCUGGUACAAGCAGUUCUCCUGCCUCAGCCUCCCAAGUAGCUGGGAUUACAGGUGCACGCCACCAUGCCCAGCUAAUUUUGUAUUUUUAGUAGACACAGGGUUUCACUAUGUUAGCCAGGCUGAUCUCGAACUCCCAAACUUUGGGAUUACAAGCAUGAGCCACUGUGCCCAGCCUGUUCUUUUCUAUUUUUUGAGAUGGAGUCUCACUCUGUCACUUAGGCUGGAGUACAGUGGCACAAUCUCAGCUCACUGCAACAUCCACCUCCCAAGUUCAAACGAUUUUUCUGCCUCAGCCACCAAAGUAAGCUGGGAUUAUAGGUGAACACCACCACACCGGGCUAAUUUUUUGUAUUAUUUGGUAGAGACGGGUUUUCACCGUGUUACCCAGGCUGGUCUCAGACUCCUGACCUCAAGUGAUCCGCCAGCAUCAGCCUCCCAAAGUGCUGGGAUUACAGGCAUGAGCCACUGUGCCCAGCCCUCUGUAUUGUUCUGAUUUUAGUAUAUGUGUGCUGAAAUGAGCACUUCCCUCUUCUCUUGUAUGCGUUUGGUUUGACUACCAAAUUUAUUCACUUUUGCAAUAAACCGUCACUGAGCACCUACUAUGUUCCAGGCACUGUCUUAAGGACUGGGGAUUCGUCAGUGAAUAAAGCAGACAUAGUCCCUUCCCUCACAGAGCUUAUACUCUAGUAGAUGGAAACGUAUAAUGAAUAAACAGAUAAGUGCACAUAAUGAUAUCAUGCAGUGAAGGGGACAAAGUGUAAGGAAGGGCUACUAUUUUAGAUGAGGAGGUUGUAUCAGUCAAGAUGGGCUAGGGAAGUCAGAGAUGGUUGGGAAGAAAAAGCCUGGCUUCCCCCUUUCUCCCUCCAACUUCCUGUGGGUGCCUCACCUUGGGUGACCUCAGCUAGAGGCCAGCUGACAAAGGAGGCUGAGUAGCUUCCAGGGGUCAGCUCUGCAAAGCAGGAAAGAGCAAGGAAUCCACUGGAAGCAAGAAGGCCCAAAAGUACCUUGGGAGGUACGCCGCUUUUUCAGCUCACUCACUGCCUGUAAACUGUCAGGGACCCUAGGAUCAUUAAAAAAUAUUUUGAGGGCCGGGCGUGGUGGCUCACGCCUGUAAUCCCAGCACUUUGGGAGGCUGAGGCAGGUGGAUUAUCUGAGGUCAGGAGUUCG